AGUGAACGCUGGCGGUAGGCCUAACACAUGCAAGUCGAACGGCAGCACAGUAAGAGCUUGCUCUUACGGGUGGCGAGUGGCGGAUGGGUGAGGAAUACAUCGGAAUCUACUUUUUCGUGGGGGAUAACGUAGGGCAACUUAUGCUAAUACCUCAUACGACCUACGGGUGGAAGCAGGAGAUCUUCGGAGUUUUCGCGUGUGAAUGAGCCGAUGUCGGAUUGGCUAGUUGGGGGGGUAAAGGCCCAGCAUGGCGACGAUACGUAGCUGGUCUGAGAGGAUGGUCGGCCACACUGGAACUGAGACACGGUCCAGACUCCUACGGGAGGCAGCAGUGGGGAAUCUUGGACAAUGGGCGCAAGCCUGAUCCAGCCAUACCGCGUGAGUGAAGAAGGCCUUCGGGUUGUAAAGCCCUUUUGUUGGGAAAGAAAAGCAGCAGGUUAAAACCCCGCUGUUCUGACGGUACCCAAAGAAUAAGCACCGGCUAACUUCGUG
rnacentral:rRNA from 1 species